rnacentral:rRNA from 1 species
CGCCUCUUGAAUUAAUAUAAGAGGUCCAGCCUGCCCAGUGACCCUGUUCAACGGCCGCGGUAUCCUAACCGUGCGAAGGUAGCGUAAUCACUUGUUCUUUAAAUGAGGACUAGUAUGAACGGCAUCACGAAGGUUAUACUGUCUCCUUUUUCUAAUCAGUGAACCUAAUCUCCCCGUGAAGAAGCGGGAAUAUAACUAUAAGACGAGAAGACCCUAUGGAGCUUWAAACAACACAGCACUUGCUAAAAAACUAAGCAUUCCCGAAUUUUUACUUUCUAGGCAACAUGACUGUAAGUUUUUGGUUGGGGUGACCACGGAGUACAAUAYAACCUCCAUGUUGAAAGAAUUUUUUUCUAAGCCGAAAAUUACACUUUUAAGCAUCAAUAAGUUGACAUCUAUUGACCCAAUAUAUUUGAACAACGAACCAAGUUACCCUAGGGAUAACAGCGCAAUCCACUUCAAGAGCUCCUAUCGACAAGUGGGUUUACGACCUCGAUGUUGGAUCAGGGUUUCCCAGUGGUGCAGCCGCUACUAAAGGUUCGUUUGUUCAACGAUUAAAACCCU